CCUACGGGGGGCAGCAGUGAGGAAUAUUGGUCAAUGGACGAGAGUCUGAACCAGCCAAGUAGCGUGAAGGAUGACUGCCCUAUGGGUUGUAAACUUCUUUUAUAUGGGAAUAAAACGUUCCACGUGUGGGAUUUUGUAUGUACCAUAUGAAUAAGGAACGGCUAACUCCGUGCCAGCAGCCGCGGUAAUACGGAGGAUGCGCGCGUUAUCCGGAGUUCUUGGGUUUAAAGGCAGCGUAGGUGGUUUGUUAAGUCAGUUGUGAAAGUUUGCGGCUCAACCGUAAAAUUGCAGUUGAAACUGGCAGUCUUGAGUACAGUAGAGGUGGGCGGAAUUCGUGGUGUAGCGGUGAAAAGCUUAGAUAUCACGAAGAACUCCGAUUGCGAAGGCAGUUCACUGAACUGCAAAUGACACUGAAGCUCGAAAGUGUGGGUAUCAAACAGGAUUAGAUACCCUGGUAGUC
rnacentral:rRNA from 1 species